rnacentral:lncRNA from 1 species
GGAGUCUCUGAGAAGCAAUCAUUGGUCUUUCAGCUCAUUAUGAGCCAAUGGCUGGCGUGCUUGUCUCGUGGAAAUAAUUCCUUUAUUCCCAAUGCUCCAGUUUUCUGAUGGCUUAACCACAUGGAUGGGUGUUCCUUUCUUUUCCUGGGCAGACGAUGGCAUCGUAGCACUUCCUUAGCAUACAAAACACCCGCAGCAUCUUCCCUUGUUUGAUUGGAUCAGACAUGCUGGAAGAGUCUGAGGUUUAGGGUUUUGCUUCGAGUUCUGGAUGAAACAGAUGAACGCCAUAAUCCCUAUUUUUCCUAAAAGGGAGACAUGAAAAUCUUGCGUUUAUACUAAAAAGUGUUCCCAUCUCAUUGAAAUUCAGGCUUGAACUAUCCACCCUGAACACGUCCAGAAGCCCUUUCUCUAAUUCUGGAAGCAGUGAUCUCGGGAGAGAAGUUUUCCAUCUGUCUCCUUAUGAUGCUAAGCUGUUAGUGCAGUUCAUUAUUUAUUACAUCUCCUGCUUUUGUGUGUGGCCGCAGUGGCAGUAAAGAGAUACGUCUUCCGAGGCCCUGCAUGUGUCUGUAGGGCUGGAGAACAUUUGCUCCCAGAGGCAAAGAGAUGACAUGGGAGAAUGAGGCAGUUUGUGGCAUGUGCUUUUAAAAUACAAACUAACAGACACAACAACUGGCAUUCCAAACAUCUCCUGGUCCUCCAGGGCAGAUGGUGCCAAGGCAAUGAUGUAUUUAUCAGAGCUAAGCUCCCCAGGCUCACGUGGGGAAGGGAGCCGGGCUUUGCACUCUAACUCCCUCUUUGCCAUCAGAGUUCAGCUCCCCCUUUUCAGCCGCUAAUGCGCAGAGGGAAUCCUGGCCUACCAGCCUGCAGGGACAUAGCUGAGUGCACCACCAUGGGGCAGGAAGGCAGUCCUGCACAAGACAGCCCCACGAGGGACAGAAGGAGGAAGGCACUGACACCAUGGCCCCCUGUUUCCCCCAGUCCAGUCGUUAUUGUCAACUCUCUUCUUGGUAACCCCUGGCCCCUCAUGUCCCGCUCACAGAGGCUCAGGGGUGGUGAAAUUGCCUCAAAGGGUCGUUAUUUUAUUGAAACAGAAUCAGAUCAUUUUCCAUCCAGCAUCUUGUUUGUAGAAAUAUCCUAUUAGACACAGAAAGGAAAAGAUCAGUAUCUUUUACACCAUAAUUAAAAUAUCACUUUUCUCAAUGAAACGUUAUCUAGAUUAUCUCACAAAACAGCAUUGCUUACAACAUUGCUUACAAGCCUUAUAAAUGUGAGGCUGCCAGCUAGAACACUAUAGAAAAUGUUAGUUAUUGCACCAUCUCCCACAGUUGUUCUUUUGAUGUGCUGGCUUGGAAUAAACAGACUUAUCUUUCCUGUCAUACAACACUGUCCUUAAUUUAAUGGAGAUGUUAUUAAGAUAAAAUCUCUAUUCAAUUCCAUAUUGUACCAUAUUAACACACACAAUUAGUAAUGCUUUAUCAGUUAUGAAGAAAGAUGAUGACUGCUUUUAAGCUAAAUUACCUUUAUCAUGGUAGCACAUGAAAGAAGCGACAAAUAUUUAUCCGCGUGUAUGUUAAUUCUUAUUUAAUUUUAACGCUGCUUUUAUCAACCAAAUUAACCAAUGAAUUUUAUUAAAGGGAAUGUUAUUAUAGAAAAGACUGUCCCAGGCAUGAAGUGCAGUUGCCUCGUGCAGGCAUGUAAGGCUCCCAGGAUGGAGCCCAAAGUCAGUUUUUGGCCUUGCCCUCUCUGGAUAUAUGACACUUUAAUAGGGCUUCUUUGAUGCUCAGUACAUUUAUGGUCUUAAAAACCCCUCGAAUUAUUAGACUGUUAAAUAACGCCUAAAAUAGUCUCACCCCAUCCCUGGGCUUCCCCAACUCUAAGACUCAGUCCAAUGCAGACGCUCCCUACAUUCCUAUCUCCAGCUCCAGCUUGGCCCUUAAUUUUCUGGAAAAUGCUCAACAAUGAUGGGAAAUUAGACUUGAGCUUUUCACGUUUGCUCUCUGGGGAACUGCUGAUCCUUACAUUUAGAUGUACCCCACGCCUCGGUCUCAGCACCGACAGCCACUUCUGUGUCUGAAAGCCUGUUGUGGUCCAUUUCCUUUACAAUUGGCUAUUAAGAAUCCAAACCAGUCAUCUGUUCAGCUAGGCAUUUGCCAUUUGCCAAUUCAUAACGCUUAAAAUAGUCAUCUCAAACUAUUUUGUUAAUUUUUAAUAGGCUCUGUCUGUGCAACUGGAUGCUGAUUCCUGAGAGCGGCCCCUCUGCUCAGCCUCCCAAUUAUUUCAGGACUUGGCCAAGCCCCUAAAGACUUUUUUUCCAUCUCAUAGACUUUUAUUCCGGCUUUAGGAUAGCAUAAAUUCCACCUGAUUACUCACUUCCCUGUUUU